rnacentral:rRNA from 1 species
UAGGGAAUCUUCGGCAAUGGGGGGAACCCUGACCGAGCAACGCCGCGUGAGUGAAGAAGGUUUUCGGAUCGUAAAGCUCUGUUGUUAAGGAAGAACGAGUGUGAGAAUGGAAAGUUCAUACUGUGACGGUACUUAACCAGAAAGGGACGGCUAACUACGUGCCAGCAGCCGCGGUAAUACGUAGGCCCCGAGCGUUGUCCGGAUUUAUUGGGCGUAAAGCGAGCGCAGGCGGUUAGAUAAGUCUGAAGUUAAAGGCAGUGGCUCAACCAUUGUAGGCUUUGGAAACUGUUUAACUUGAGUGCAGAAGGGGAGAGUGGAAUUCCAUGUGUAGCGGUGAAAUGCGUAGAUAUAUGGAGGAACACCGGUGGCGAAAGCGGCUCUCUGGUCUGUAACUGACGCUGAGGCUCGAAAGCGUGGGGAGCGAACAGG